UACGGAGGGUGCAAGCGUUAUUCGGAAUUACUGGGCGUAAAGCGCGUGUAGGCGGCCCUGCAAGUCUGAUGUGAAAGCCCCGGGCUUAACCCGGGAAGUGCAUUGGAAACUGCAGGUCUUGAGUACUGGAGAGGAUGGGGGAAUUCCCGGUGUAGAGGUGAAAUUCGUAGAGAUCGGGAGGAAUAUCAGUGGCGAAGGCGCCCAUCUGGACGGUAACUGACGCUGAGACGCGAAAGCGUGGGGAGCAAACAGGAUUAGAUACCCUGGUAGUCCACGCUGUAAACGAUGAGCACUGGGUGUAGCGGGUACUCAUUCCUGCUGUGCCGCAGCUAACGCGUUAAGUGCUCCGCCUGGGGAUUACGGUCGCAAGACUAAA
rnacentral:rRNA from 1 species